rnacentral:misc_RNA from 1 species
AAGAUCUCUUUGUAUAUUGUGGGAGGAAGUUCUCGCUGAAGACAGUCUUGAUGUUGGCUGAUCAAAUGAUCACAAGAAUAGAGUACGUCCAUUCCAAAGGAUUUCUGCAUAGAGAUAUAAAGCCUGAUAACUUCCUUAUGGGCCUUGGACGCAAAGCAAAUCAGGUUUACAUAAUAGAUUUUGGAUUAGCUAAAAGAUAUCGAGAUGCA